CACAAACACAAAGAAACAUAGAACAAACCUAAAGCCUAAAUCAAUGCAUACAAAUCAUGAUUUAUAAGCUUUAAAUAUGCCACUCUUAGCACGGGUGUGAAUGCACUCAUUUUCCGAUCUUUUAGGACUCUGCAGAUUGUAAGAAGCCUUCUGCUUAGCUUUGUUACCAGAAUUGUCCUUAGGGCUCUUAGUCUUCCUAGGUCGCCCUCUCUUUCCUUUCUUGGUAG
rnacentral:lncRNA from 1 species